CAUGCAGUCGAGCGGACACCAACCUGCUAGCAAUACAGGCGAAGAUGUUAGCGGCAGACGGGUGAGUAACACGUAGUCAACCUAUCUUUUCGUCCGGGAUAACUAGCCGAAAGGUUAGCUAAUACCUGAUGCGAUCGUCGAGUGGCAUCACUUGAUGAUGAAAGCAGCAAUGCGCGGAUUGAGGGGGCUGCGGCCCAUUAGCUAGUUGGUGAGGUAACGGCCCACCAAGGCAACGAUGGGUAGCUGGUCUGAGAGGACGACCAGCCACACUGGGACUGAGACACGGCCCANACUCCUACGGGAGGCAGCAGUGAGGAAUUUUCCGCAAUGGGGGAAACCCUGACGGAGCGACGCCGCGUGCGGGAGGAAGGCCUUCGGGUCGUAAACCGCUGUCGAGGGGGACGAUUAUGACGGUACCCCUGGAGGAAGCCCCGGCUAACUACGUGCCAGCAGCCGCGGUAAGACGUAGGGGGCAAGCGUUGUUCGGAAUUAUUGGGCGUAAAGGGUGCGUAGGUGGAUUCGUAAGUCGAGGUUGAAAUAUCCGGGCUCAACUCGGGGACCGGCCUCGAUACUGCGGAUCUCGAGUCAAGAAGAGGGUAUUGGAACUCCGAGUGUAGCGGUGAAAUGCGUANAUAUUCGGAAGAACACCAGUGGCGAAGGCGGAUACCUGGUCUUGCACUGACGCUGAGGCACGAAAGCUGGGGAAGCAAACGGGAUUAGAUACCCGGGUAGUCCCAGCCGUAAACGAUGAAUGCUAGGUGUGA
rnacentral:rRNA from 1 species